UGUACCCAAGCUGGCAACGCUGUCCCCUUCCACUUCUCUUCUUCUCCCAAUUUUCCCUUCGUCCCAAAAGUUCCUUAAACCCUAACCCUAAUCUCUUCAUCCCCUUUCUUUCUUGUAAAUACCCUAAAAGAUUUUCCCCAUCUCCAUGCUCUAACAAAAAGAAAAAAAUCCCUCCGUCCCCCCAGAAAAAAGAGAACGGAAAAAAUGAUCCCUUUAAUUCCUUCCGUAUUUCUUUACUUCAUUUUCAUCUUCACGAUUGUGAACGGCGAGCAGGAUUCUAUUUACGAGAUCCUAAAGGCUCAUGGCCUGCCCAUGGGGCUACUUCCGAAGGGGAUAACCCGAUUUGACUUUAACGAUACGGGCCGGUUCGAGGUUCAUUUGGAUCAGGCCUGUAAUGCCAAGUUUGAAAGCGAGUUGCAUUACGAUAGGAAUGUGUCGGGGACUUUGAGUUACGGGCAGAUCGGGGCGUUGUCGGGGAUUACGGCUCAAGAAUUGUUUCUUUGGUUCCCGGUUAAAGGGAUCCGCGUCGAUAUUCCGAGCUCGGGUCUUAUUUAUUUUGACGUCGGUGUCGUUUUUAAGCAGUUUUCUUUGUCGUUGUUCGAAACGCCAAGGGAUUGUAUGGCGGUUUUGGAUUUUGAACCCGGUAAUUCAAUUCGAGAUGGCAAGUUUGUAGCUGAAGCAAUCGCCAAGAGUCUACCUGCGAACCUACGAUAUGAAUUCGAUCAAGAAAGUUUUGGGAGGAAUGAUAUUUAGAAAGGUGGAGAAAAGAAGUGCAAUAGCUCAAUCAGUUUAGCUCUCAAAGGUUUUUAUGGGGUCAGGUCCCCAUGCUGUAAAUUUUCGUCGGAGAGUCUGCUCUAGGAGGUUGUUACAUUUCCAUCCUGUGUGCUUCGCUUGCGUUUUUUCUUAUUCUAUAUAGUGCAGAGUCGUCCACAUGCCUAGUCCAGCGGCUCCUGUCUAUGUGAGGAUGGCCAAUGACGCGAAAAUGGAAGGUUGGGAAGCUAUAUUUUCGAUGAUAAUCAUGGUUGGUUUACCCUAUGGAAGAUAAAAGGAGAUGGGAGCAUUUGGUCGGCGAUUUCAGGUCUAAACCUCGAUGGAAUCUGUUUUCAUUAUCAGAGAGUUUGAACAGGGGUUUGUGACUUUGUGUAGUGAUAGUCAUGGGAUUUUAUUUCUCCUAAGGAUUUUUGAACUAGCAUGCUCUUCUCCAAGAUAAAAUUUUGAUUUUAUGUUUUUCCUUUUAUUUUCUUUGGCUUUGGAGAAGGGUUGUCAAAACUUUGCAAAGUUAGUGAACUUUUGGGUAUCUACCGAAUGGGCGGUGAUGCCUUAUGUUUAUUUUCUAGACAUGCAAUGAAGCAGUGAGAGGCUUUCAAGGUAGCUGUUUUAGUAUCUAAGUUAUUAGAUUUUGGAUCUGUUAGUGUCCAGAAUCAGAGAAUCACUGCAUACACAGUAUACUUCAGUACAACGUUCUGUAUCAUGGAGCUUGGUGAGAUUUUCUGAAUGUAUUAAGUGUAUAAUUUGUCUCUUCUUCAUCCUUAAUUGUCAAUUUCCCGUUUAUGUAAAA